UCAGUGUCUGUGUCUGCCCUGGUCCCACGUCUCUGUUCCCUCUGUAGUGCCUGUCUGUGAGUCUGUGUCUUUAAGUUCAGUCUGUGUUAUGUUUCCUGUUUUACUUUGGAGGUGCAUAUCUUAUGUUAAUGUAUCUGGUUCUGCUUCCUUUGUCUCGUUAGGCCUGAUUUGCCCCAGUUGUGUUUCCCUCCUGUUGCCCAUUCCCUGAUUGCUCCCUCUGUGAAUUUAAGCCCUGUGUUUCUCUGUGUCCGUGUCGCGAUCUACCCUUUUCUUGCUGUGUUCUGUUAGUCUUCCAGUCACUGAUCAAUCAAGUUUACAUCUCUGGCACCAAAGGUAAAGAUGAUGGCAAAUGUGUGUCAUGACCUAUGACAUUCAGCUCGAUGGUGAUUUACUCUGACCAGUAGAACACCAGUAGAAACCUUCAUCAGACGGUUGGACUUCUUUGAUGGUAAACUCUCCUUCAGGUGCAGCUCUAAUCGGGGUAUCAUGUCUUCCAAACUUGAAGAAGUUAACUGGGACAGGCAAACCAUUUUUGUUCCUGCAGCGCAAAGUAACUUUACUUCCAGUCAUAACAGGAAGAGCAGGGAUCUCCAUGAUGAAGGGGCCACCUGAACAACACCAGAGUGUCAAAUUGUUCACAGGUUUUCUUCAAGGGUUUGAAAAGUGCCCUGCAACAGGAUUUGUUAAUGAGACUGAAGUGUUCACACCAGUAAACUCCUCUAUCUGCAAGAGGAGAUGGAUCCGAGACUGCAGGUGGAACCACUGAUCCUCCCAAAGCCUCCAGAAGCUCCACAUGUCUCUGUUUCUGAAACUGAUAUCCUCUUCAGUGUCCACUCAGUAUUCCCACUGUAGUUUCCCUCCUCACAGCUCAGAUGGACAAACUCUCCUGUAAAAAACUGCUGACGGUUUGGAUGGACAUUCAGAGAGACUGGAAGAAAAAUUGACACAUGAAAGAUGCAGACACAACAAGUUUUAUAAUUUUAGAAUCAGGUAUUAUUGUAAUUUUUUAUUUGACCUUUCAGCAGCUUACUUUCAGAAACUGUGAGUCUAGAAUCAAGCAGCUCAAUCAGUCCUGCAAUGGGAGAUCACAGCAAGUCUCAUCAGACUAAGUAUGAGGGGAGUUAAUACUUUCACUCAUAGUGUUUUUAUACACAGUGAUAUUUCACACAUAUCACUAUAAUAUAAUCUAAAGUAAAAGGAGGAUGCAUUCUGUUCCUUCUCUGUUUAUUAUUUGGACACUUUUCUUGUUUCAUUUGGAGUUACAUAGAAUUUUAUUCUUAUUCCAGGAAGGAACCACAUACACAGUCUUGUUUCUGUGAUGUACAGAUUCAAACACACAGUCUUGAAAAAUAGCAUUUCCUUCUUGAAAGCAUUAAACUAUUUUUAAAACCACCAAGAGCAAGAAAAGUAGUGGAUAAGCCAAAUACUGCUGUGGUUACUUUGUGUUAGCAGAACAUAUUGGCAAGAAUCACAAUACAGGAACUUUGAGUGUCAUUAAAAAAGGGCUUUCCCCCAUGAGAGAGUCAGCUUCCUUGUUUUAGUGCACAAACA